GACGAACGCUGGCGGCGUGCUUAACACAUGCAAGUCCAACGGAAAGGCCCUGCUUUUGUGGGGUGCUCGAGUGGCGAACGGGUGAGUAACGCGUGAGUAACCUGCCCUUGACUUUGGGAUAACUUCAGGAAACUGGGGCUAAUACCGGAUAGGAGCUCCUGCUGCAUGGUGGGGGUUGGAAAGUUUCGGCGGUUGGGGAUGGACUCGCGGCUUAUCAGCUUGUUGGUGGGGUAGUGGCUUACCAAGGCUUUGACGGGUAGCCGGCCUGAGAGGGUGACCGGCCACAUUGGGACUGAGAUACGGCCCAGACUCCUACGGGAGGCAGCAGUGGGGAAUAUUGCACAAUGGGCGGAAGCCUGAUGCAGCAACGCCGCGUGCGGGAUGACGGCCUUCGGGUUGUAAACCGCUUUCGCCUGUGACGAAGCGUGAGUGACGGUAAUGGGUAAAGAAGCACCGGCUAACUACGUG
rnacentral:rRNA from 1 species